AUUGAACGCUGGCGGCAGGCCUAACACAUGCAAGUCGAGCGAGCGGCGGACGGGUGAGUAAUGUAUGGGGACUGCCCGAUAGAGGGGGAUAACUACUGGAAACGGUGGCUAAUACCGCAUACUAACGGAGAACCCAUAUGGGAUUAGCUAGUAGGUGGGGUAAAGACUCACGUGGGCGACGAACUCUAGCUGGUCUAAGAGGAUGAUCGGCCACACUGGGACGGAGAACCGGCCCAGACUCCGACGGAGGCAGCAUUGGGGAAUAUUGCACAAUGGGCGCAAGCCUGAUGCAGCCAUGCCGCGUGAAUGAAGAAGGCCUUAGGGUUAUAAAGUACUUUCAGCGGGGAGGCGUUACCCGCAGAAGAAGCACCGGCUAACUCCGUGCCAGCAGCCGCGGUAAUAC
rnacentral:rRNA from 1 species